UACGUAGGGGGCAAGCGUUGUCCGGAUUUAUUGGGCGUAAAGAGCGUGUAGGCGGUUUGGUAGGUCCGCUGUGAAAACUCGAGGCUCAACCUCGAGACGCCGGUGGAAACCAUCAGGCUAGAGUUCGGAAGAGGAGAGUGGAAUUCCUGGUGUAGCGGUGAAAUGCGCAGAUAUCAGGAAGAACACCCCGUGGCUAAAGGCGGCUCUCUAGUACGGUACUG
rnacentral:rRNA from 1 species